UUUUAGUCUAUUUGUUCGUUUUUAUUAUUGUGGAUAUCAGUGGUGGAUCAUCUUUGGGUAAUACAUUAUGCUCAUCUGGCACAAUUCCAGAUUUAGACGGAGCUUGGGUUUGUGACGAUUCAUGGCUGGUUGGUUUCGGAGAAGAUAUAAGCGAUUAUGAUACUUUUAAAAAAUGGAAUUUAUACUUUGAACUUCCAAAGUUUUAUGCAAUCAGCAAGAUUGCCACUCGUCCAUCGAAGUGUGAUCCAGGAACAUUCGUUAUAGCUCGAUUGUCAGCAUCCGUAUGGGAUGAAAGAUUCAUCAAAGGUUAUGAUGAGAAUCUUGCUGACGCCACUCAAUCCCAUUGGAUCACGAUUAAA